AAAAAACAGAAAGCAAACCACAAGUGCAAAUGAGGUAAACCACUUGUACAUUUGUCUGUCCAACCUUGCUUGUUUUUGUUUUUAUCCACAUCAUGGAUCC
rnacentral:ribozyme from 1 species